rnacentral:rRNA from 1 species
GACGAACGCUGGCGGCGUGCUUAACACAUGCAAGUCGAACGGAAAGGCCCUGCUUUUGUGCGGUGCUCGAGUGGCGAACGGGUGAGUAACACGUGAGUAACCUGCCCUUGACUUUGGGAUAACUUCAGGCAACUGGGGCUAAUACCGGAUAGGAGCUCCUGCUGCAUGGUGGGGGUUGGAAAGUUUCGGCGGUUGGGGAUGGACUCGCGGCUUAUCAGCUUGUUGGUGGGGUAGUGGCUUACCAAGGCUUUGACGGGUAGCCGGCCUGAGAGGGUGACCGGCACCAUUGGGACUGAGAUACGGCCCAGACUCCUACGGGAGGCAGCAGUGGGGAAUAUUGCACAAUGGGCGGAGGCCUGAUCCAGCAACGCCGCGUGCGGGAUGACGGCCUUCGGGUUGUAAACCGCUUUCGCCUGUGACGAAGCGUGAGUGACGGUAAUGGGUAAAGAAGCACCGGCUAACUACGUG